rnacentral:tRNA from 1 species
GCCGGGGUGGCGAAAUGGUAGCCGCAAGAGACUUAAAAUCUCUCGAUAGCAAUAUCGUGCGGGUUCGAUUCCCGCCCCCGGCA